AGUGAACGCUGGCGGUAGGCCUAACACAUGCAAGUCGAACGGCAGCACCGUAAGAGCUUGCUCUUACGGGUGGCGAGUGGCGGACGGGUGAGGAAUACAUCGGAAUCUACUUUUUCGUGGGGGAUAACGUAGGGAAACUUACGCUAAUACCGCAUACGACCUACGGGUGAACGCAGGGGAUCUUCGGACCUUGCGCGAUUGAAUGAGCCGAUGUCGGAUUAGCUAGUUGGCGGGGUAAAGGCCCACCAAGGCGACGAUCCGUAGCUGGUCUGAGAGGAUGAUCAGCCACACUGGAACUGAGACACGGUCCAGACUCCUACGGGAGGCAGCAGUGGGGAAUAUUGGACAAUGGGCGCAAGCCUGAUCCAGCCAUACCGCGUGGGUGAAGAAGGCCUUCGGGUUGUAAAGCCCUUUUGUUGGGAAAGAAAAGCAGCAGGUUAAUACCCCGCUGUUCUGACGGUACCCAAAGAAUAAGCACCGGCUAACUUCGUG
rnacentral:rRNA from 1 species